GAUGAACGCUGGCGGCGUGCUUAAUACAUGCAAGUCGAACAAAUGGAUGUCUAGCUUGCUAGACUGAAGUUAGUGGCGAACGGGUGAGUAAUACAUAGGCAAUCUGCCCUGAAGUGUGGGAUAGCUAUUGGAAACGAUAAUUAAUACCGCAUAGGUAGUAGGAAGGCAUCUUCCUACUAUUAAAGAUGCGUUUGCAUCGCUGCAGGAUGAGCUUAUGGUGUAUUAGCUAGUUGGUGAGAUAAAAGCCCACCAAGGCUAUGAUACAUAGCUGGUCUGAGAGGAUGAACAGCCACAUUGGGACUGAGACACGGCCCAGACUCCUACGGGAGGCAGCAGUAAGGAAUAUUGGUCAAUGGGCGGAAGCCUGAACCAGCCAUGCCGCGUGAAGGACUAAGGCCCUACGGGUCGUAAACUUCUUUAGACGCAGAGCAAUAAGGUCCACGCGUGGACGACGAG
rnacentral:rRNA from 1 species